GAAAGAUGAAAAGAACUUUGAAAAGAGAGUUAAAAAGUACGUGAAAUUGUUGAAAGGGAAACGAUUGAAGUCAGUCGUACCGACGAGAAAUCAGCUUUUCGAAUGUGCAUUUGUGGGCGUAUGAGAUCUUCAUUGUUUGCAAUAUGUAUGUUUCUUUGGUGUAUUUUUUCGUAUGGUAGGUCAAUGUCGGUUUUGAUCGCCAUAAAAUGAUCGGAGGAAUGUAGCUUCGGCCUCGGUUGAAGUGUUAUA
rnacentral:rRNA from 1 species